GUGAACCGCCCCAUUGGGACUGAGACACGGCCCACACUCCCACGGGAGGUUGCUGUGGGGAAUAUUGGACAAUGGGGGGAACCCUGAUCCAGCGAGGCCCUGUGAGUGAAGAAGUAUUUCUGUAUGUAAAGCUCUAUCAGUUAGGAACAAUCAUUGACGGUUCCUGACUUAGAAUCCCCUGCUCACUACGUGCCAGCAUCCGCGGAUAUGCGUAGGGGGUCAGCGCUUUCCGGAUUUCUCGGGCGUAAAGGGUAGCGUUGUCGGCACUGCCAAUUUGAAGUGAAAGUCGGGGGCCCUUCCCCCGGACUGCUUUUGAAACUGUGCUGGUGGAGUGCAGGAGAGGCAAGGUUGGAAUUUCCUUAGGGUAGCCGGGUGAAAUGGCUUUGAUAUUAGGAGGUACCUCCUAGUGGCGAGGGCGGGCUUGCUGGGCCUGUAACUUGCGUUGAGGUUUUAAAAGGGGGGGGAGCAAACAGGGUUGGAUACCCGGGUAGUCCACGCCGUAAACGAGAAUCGCUAGGUGUCGGUGGGUAGGGGCCCAUCGGUGCCGCAGCAAACGCAGUAAGUGAUCCACCUGGGGAGUAGGUUCGCAGGAAUGAAACUCAAAGGAAUUGACGGGGACCCGCACAAGCGAAGAAACAUAUGGUUUUAUUCGAAGCAACGCGGAGAACCUUACCAAGUCUUGACAUCCCGUUGACGAGUGAGUGACGUCACUUUCCCUUCGGGGCAAUGGAGACAGGUGGUGCAUGGUUGUCGUCAGCUCGUGUCGUGAGAUGUUGGGUUAAGUCCCGCAACGAGCGCAACCCCUAUUCUUAGUAGCCAGCGAGUCAAGUCGGGCACUCUAAGGAGACUGCCGGGGACAACCCGGAGGAAGGUGGGGAUGACGUCAAAUCAUCAUGCCCCUUAUGAUUUGGGCUACACACGUGGUACAAUGGCGUGAACAAAGGGAAGCGAGCCUGGGAGGGUAAGCGAAACUCAGAAAUAACGUCUCAGUUCGGAUUGUAGUCUACAACUCGACUACAUGAAGCUGGAAUCGCUAGUAAUCGCGGAUCAGAAUGCCGCGGUGAAUACGUUCCCUGGGUCUUGCACUCACCGCCCGUCA
rnacentral:rRNA from 1 species